UGAUGAAAAGAAAACGCACUUCUCAGGAGAAAGAAAACGAGUGGCUGAGGAAGAAUGUUCCUAAACGUACUCUGAGCAGAUGGAAAAGAAGGAAAAUCACCAGAACAUGCGCAGACAUUGAGCAACAUAGGCCUACUAUACAAUAUGAAAAUGAUGAAGAUUGUAGUCAAAGAGAAGAAAACACAAGGGC